UACGGAGGGGGCAAGCGUUGUUCGGAAUCACUGGGCGUAAAGCGCGUGUAGGCGGAUUGGCAAGUCAGAAGUGAAAUCCCCGGGCUCAACCUGGGAACUGCUUUUGAAACUGCCAGUCUAGAGUUCGGUAGAGGGUGGUGGAAUUCCCCGUGUAGAGGUGAAAUUCGUAGAUAUGGGGAGGAACACCAGAGGCGAAGGCGGCCACCUGGGCCGAUACUGACGCUGAGGCGCGAAAGCGUGGGGAGCGAAUAGG
rnacentral:rRNA from 1 species